UACGUAGGUGGCAAGCGUUAUCCGGAAUUAUUGGGCGUAAAGCGCGCGUAGGCGGUUUCUUAAGUCUGAUGUGAAAGCCCACGGCUCAACCGUGGAGGGUCAUUGGAAACUGGGAAACUUGAGUGCAGAAGAGGAAAGUGGAAUUCCACGUGUAGCGGUGAAAUGCGCAGAGAUAUGGAGGAACACCAGUGGCGAAGGCGACUUUCUGGUCUGUAACUGACGCUGAUGUGCGAAAGCGUGGGGAUCAAACAGG
rnacentral:rRNA from 1 species